GAGUUUGAUCCUGGCUCAGAAUAAACGCUGGCGGCGUGCCUAACACAUGCAAGUCGAGCGAGAAAGCUCCUUCGGGAGUUAGUAAAGCGGCGAACGGGUGAGUAAUACGUGAGAAUUUACCCUUUAGUGAAGAAUACCUUCGAGAAAUCGAAGUUAAUACUGCAUAAGUCCCUACGGGGAGAAAGGUGGCCUCUUUGCUACCGCUGAAGGAUAAGCUUGCGCGCUAUCAGCUAGUUGGUGAGGUAAUAGCUCACCAAGGCAAUGACGGCUAACCGGCCUGAGAGGGUGUUCGGUCACACUGGAACUUAGACACGGUCCAGACUCCUACGGGAGGCAGCAGUGAGGAAUCUUGCGCAAUGGGCGAAAGCCUGACGCAGCGACGCCGCGUGGAGGAUGAAGGUCUUCGGAUUGUAAACUUCUGUUAAGUGGGAAGAAAGGUUUGUCUCUAAUAAAGGCAAAAUAUGACUGUACCAUUAGAGAAAGCACCGGCUAAACUCGUGCCAGCAGCCGCGGUAAUACGAGUGGUGCAAGCGUUAUUCGGAUUUAUUGGGCGUAAAGGGUGCGCAGACGGUAUGUUAAGUCACCUGUUAAAUUCUCUGGCCUAACCAGAGGCAUGCGGGUGAAACUGGCAAACUAGAGGGUGGAAGAGAGAAGUGGAAUUCUCGGAGUAGCGGUAAAAUGCGUAGAUCUCGAGAGGAACACCAAUGGCGAAGGCAGCUUCUUGGUCCAUUUCUGACGUUCAUGCACGAAAGCGUGGGGAGCAAACAGGAUUAGAUACCCUGGUAGUCCACGCCCUAAACGAUGCGAACUGGAUGUUGGGUGCAACUUGGCACUCAGUAUCGAAGCUAACGCGUUAAGUUCGCCGCCUGGGGAGUACGGUCGCAAGACUGAAACUCAGAGGAAUUGACGGGGGCCCGCACAAGCGGUGGAGUAUGUGGUUUAAUUCGAUGCAACGCGAAGAACCUUACCUGGCCUUGACAUGUCCGGAAUCCUGCAGAGAUGCGGGAGUGCCUUCGGGAAUCGGAACACAGGUGCUGCAUGGCUGUCGUCAGCUCGUGUCGUGAGAUGUUGGGUUAAGUCCCGCAACGAGCGCAACCCUUGUCCUUAGUUGCCAGCACGUAAUGGUGGGAACUCUAAGGAGACCGCCGGUGACAAACCGGAGGAAGGUGGGGAUGACGUCAAGUCAUCAUGGCCCUUACGGCCAGGGCUACACACGUACUACAAUGGGAGGUACAGAGGGUUGCGAAGCCGCGAGGCGAAGCCAAUCCCAGAAAACCUCUCUCAGUCCGGAUCGGAGUCUGCAACUCGACUCCGUGAAGUCGGAAUCGCUAGUAAUCGCGAAUCAGCAUUGUCGCGGUGAAUACGUUCCCGGGCCUUGCACACAC
rnacentral:rRNA from 1 species